rnacentral:rRNA from 1 species
ACGCUGGCGGCGUGCUUAACACAUGCAAGUCGAACGAUGAACCGGUUUCGGCCGGGGAUUAGUGGCGAACGGGUGAGUAACACGUGGGCAAUCUGCCCUGCACUCUGGGAUAAGCCCGGGAAACUGGGUCUAAUACCGGAUACGACACAUGAGCGCAUGCUCGUGUGUGGAAAGUUCCGGCGGUGCAGGAUGAGCCCGCGGCCUAUCAGUUUGUUGGUGGGGUAGUGGCCUACCAAGACGACGACGGGUAGCCGGCCUGAGAGGGUGACCGGCCACACUGGGACUGAGACACGGCCCAGACUCCUACGGGAGGCAGCAGUGGGGAAUAUUGCACAAUGGGCGAAAGCCUGAUGCAGCGACGCCGCGUGAGGGAUGACGGCCUUCGGGUUGUAAACCUCUUUCAGCAGGGAAGAAGCGAAAGUGACGGUACCUGCAGAAGAAGCACCGGCUAACUACGUGCCAGCAGCCGCGGUAAUACGUAGGGUGCAAGCGUUGUCCGGAAUUAUUGGGCGUAAAGAGCUCGUAGGCGGCCUGUCGCGUCGAUUGUGAAAGCCCAGGGCUUAACCCUGGGUCUGCAGUCGAUACGGGCAGGCUAGAGUUCGGUA